CGCCGUGAAAUGCUUGCCUAUCACAAAUGCAAGCGACUCAUACGUCGUUCAGGUACAAUACCUGCACGAGUCCAUUGAUCCCAGUUCCAUGUGCCUGGACGGUGGUGGAUUCUUUCGCAUCAAUAUGCCGAUGCUGGUUUCUAUUGCCGGGUCCACCAUAACGUACACGGUUAUCCUGGUACAGACCAGUGAGGAAGAAAAAAACGCUAUCGC